rnacentral:rRNA from 1 species
AACGAACGCUGGCCGCAUGCCUAACACAUGCAAGUCGAACGAGACCUUCGGGUCUAGUGGCGCACGGGUGCGUAACGCGUGGGAACCUGCCCUUAGGUUCGGAAUAACUCCCCGAAAGGGGUGCUAAUACCGGAUAAUGUCUUCGGACCAAAGAUUUAUCGCCUUUGGAUGGGCCCGCGUUGGAUUAGCUAGUUGGUAGGGUAAAAGCCUACCAAGGCGACGAUCCAUAGCUGGUCUGAGAGGAUGAUCAGCCACACUGGGACUGAGACACGGCCCAGACUCCUACGGGAGGCAGCAGUGGGGAAUAUUGGACAAUGGGCGAAAGCCUGAUCCAGCAAUGCCGCGUGAGUGAUGAAGGCCUUAGGGUUGUAAAGCUCUUUUACCCGGGAUGAUAAUGACAGUACCGGGAGAAUAAGCGCCGGCUAACUCCGUG